GAUGAACGCUAGCUACAGGCUUAACACAUGCAAGUCGAGGGACAGGCGCACGGGUGAGUUACACGUAUCCAACCUGACCUUUCCUCGGGGAUAGCCUUUCGAAAGAAAGAUUACUACCCAAUGUGAAGGAUGGGGAUGCGUUCCAUUAGGGUGUUGGUGAGGUAACGGCUCACCAAGCAUUCGCUGGAUAGGGGUGCUGAUAGGAAGGUACCCUACAUGUGAGAUGCGGUACGGACCCAAACCCGACGCGAGGGAGCAGUGAGUUAUAUUGGUCAAGGGGCGCUAGCCUGAACCAGCCAAGUGGAGUGAAGGAGGAAGGCUUAUGGGUCGUAAACUUCUUUUAUAUAAGAAUAUGUAUUAUAUGAAUAAGGAUCGGCUAACUCCGUGCCAGCAGCCGCGGUAAUAC
rnacentral:rRNA from 1 species